UCCCUGGUGGUCCAAUGGCUAAGAUUCUGCACUCCCAAUGCAAGAGGCCAGAGUUCAAUCCCUGGUCAGGGAA
rfam:Ovis aries breed Texel chromosome 14, whole genome shotgun sequence.